ensembl:lncRNA
GGGAGCUCAGCUCAGUGUUCUGUGAUGAUCUGAAGGGGUGGGAUGGAGAGGGUGGCUCAAGAGGGAGGAGGUAUAUGUGUAGCUGAUUCACUUGUUUGUACAGCAGAAACUAACACAAUGGUAUAAAGCAAUUCUACUCCAAUAAAAAAUGUUAUUGUAGUUCUUUGUUUUGUAAACAAAAUAAAACAUGUUUUUAAAAUCGGGAGUGGGGAGGAAGACUCCUGUCAAGAAGACAGUGGGUGCUAAAACACGUGAUAUAGCCUCGUUCCAGAAGAAUCUUGCUUGGGAGAGAUGUUGAAGACUCCACCAGGCUCGGAGUAGCCAUCAAGAAGGACACGCUCCACACAAGCAGGACCCAGCUAAGUGCUCUGAUACGGAAGUGGCUGGAGCAGCCACCCUUCAAAAGGGAUCCCAGCCCAAAGCUGCUGAUGAGGACAAUGGCGAAACUGAUCACUUCAGUCCAAGGUUGAUGAACAUGUGUUGGGUUCCUAAGUGAACUUAACCUUGCCCCAAGUGAGGAAAUGUGCACUGCAGAAUUGUGGACUAUUCUAAUGUCUUUAAUCACCUUGAUUCUUAACACUCCCGCCACCACCACACAUCAAAACUCACUGGCUACCUAGCUGGAUAGCCGUUAAAUAAAACCUAACCAGAGAAAGUCUUGGCUUCCUUUAUGUUACAUAAUACUUUAUCUAUUAACAUCUAUAUCGUUGCCAACCUCCUUCCUAUUCAGUGGGAUGAUAACAACCUGCUUUCUGACCACCCACUGUAGAAAUUUCCUCAAGUUUCUGAU